UAGGGAAUCUUCCACAAUGGACGAAAGUCUGAUGGAGCAACGCCGCGUGAGUGAUGAAGGGUUUCGGCUCGUAAAACUCUGUUGUUGGAGAAGAACAGGUGUGAGAGUAACUGUUCACAUCUUGACGGUAUCCAACCAGAAAGCCACGCUAACUACGUGCCAGCAGCCGCGGUAAUACGUAGGUGGCAAGCGUUGUCCGGAUUUAUUGGGCGUAAAGCGAGCGCAGGCGGUUUCUUAGGUCUGAUGUGAAAGCCUUCGGCUUAACCGGAGAAGUG
rnacentral:rRNA from 1 species